GUGAAAGGGAAACCUGUGUCAGGUCGAAUGCUGACUUACUGUCAGGUCAUCCUUUCUUGGUGCUCCACAAAAUAGCCAGGAAGCAGGAAUGAGAGACAAACAGUAGUUUAAUGCACUCCGUACGAAAUAAAGUCAGCACUCGGGGUGGAUUGCUCCCAGUGCCUUACAUAAGACAUGCGCACGUGCCCCGCCCUCACCGGACCUAACCCCACCCUCCAAGCCACCAUCUGGUCUGCAGGAAGAAACCCGGGCCAUAGCCCCUCCCCCUGCCGUCCGGUCGUGCAGCCUCACACUGGCCCUGUCCAUUGUCAGGCCGGCUGCUUGUCCUCACCCGGGCCGGCUGUCAGCAAGUCUAUUUAGAGAGGCGGAGAGCGUCGAACAGCCUCCUCCCCACUGGCAAGUGUCGACCCGGCGAGGCGCUGAAUGAUGAUAUCAGCGAGGGACAGCUGAGCAGCGGCGGCACCGGCGGAGUCCAGGAAGGGGCCAACAAUACUGUGACCGGCUCCCUUGCCUCCCGGGCGAGGCAGCACUGCAGAGACCAGCAACAUAGCAGCGGCUGCGGUAGUACACGAGAGGGGUUGUCAAUCGGUGGUGGGAGCAGCGGGUGGCCUCCCUGCCUCCCUACGUCGGCCUCACAGGGCUCGACAACCUGCUGGCGGCGAGGCAAGGGCACCUCCAGCUCCUGGAAGCACUGAAGAGCUAGAGCCUGGCACUGAUCCUGAGGCUUCUGCUGAGCCCCGAUAGCCCUGCAACUCCGGCUGUCUCUCCCUCAGGCUUGUGCAGCACUGCUGCUGCUUCAGCUCAUUCCUCUCCCCCUCUGCUACCACUUCUCUAGGAUGGUCACGUACCACCUGCCAGGUGGCAAAGUACCAUUGGUGGUACAUGUACCACCGGUUGAAAAGACACCAUUAUCCCAUUCAUUUCUCCAUCAUGGCCCCUUGUUUUGAGGUAAAAUUUCUAAACCUUCCAUGAGUUUAAGCUUUUUCUCCAUUUUGGAACUUCUUUUCUUUUGAUGCCUCUUUUUUCAGGCAAGAUAAUUUCUUCAGGAUUAUUCUCAUUUUUGCUGCCACUACUUGCUGUUUUCAAACACUGUUAGCUGCCCAGAGGCAUGAAUUUGAAAAGGCAGCUGUAAUGAUUAAACUCACUAAAUAAAAAAAAUCAGUACAAAUGUUAAUUUUCCUAACCAUACACUCCCUGUUUUGUGACUCUGCCAGCCCUUUUAUCUUCCCUGACUUCAGAGCUGAGUUUGCCUACAACCACAUCACACAACCUCAAUAUUCACAAGAUUGCAGAUCGUUCUUGGACACUAAAAAAAAAGAAAAGUGGAGAAAUUGCUGCCUGCUGGAGAAAGAAAAUGUUAGAGGGACUCUCCUUCAUCGAAUCAUCCCAGAACCACAUGGAACAUGGUCUCCCCUACACCCUUACAGCGUCCAUCUAGCGUUGCGUGCAGGGUCCACCACAGGACUCCUGGGGUAGCUGUUUGAAAGGCAGGGCAGCACUCAUCCGCCCCUGCUUCAGGAGGGAACUGAGCAUGAAAGCUUUCAACAGGUCAAGAGAGGCGCUGUAAGGACCCCCCCCCCCACUUUGCAUCUU